GGAUUGAAAUGGGAGCACCCUGAUCCAGCCAUGCCGCGUGAGUGAAGAAGGCCUUCGGGUUGUAAAGCUCUUUCGGUGGGAACGAAACGGGUGCGGAUAAUACCUGCGCCUACUGACGGUACUCACAGAAGAAGCACCGGCUAACUACGUGCCAGCAGCCGCGGUAAUACGUAGGGUGCGAGCGUUAAUCGGAAUUACUGGGCGUAAAGCGUGCGUAGGCGGUUUCAUAAGCUCGAUGUGAAAGCCCCGGGCUCAACCUGGGAAUGGCAUUGAGGACUGUGGAGCUGGAGUGCGGCAGAGGGAGGUGGAAUUCCACGUGUAGCAGUGAAAUGCGUAGAGAUGUGGAGGAACACCGAUGGCGAAGGCAGCCUCCUGGGCCGACACUGACGCUGAUGCACGAAAGCGUGGGGAGCAAACAGGAUUAGAUACCCUGGUAGUCCACGCCCUAAACGAUGUCAACUGGUUGUUGGGGAAGGCAACUUCCUUAGUAACGAAGCUAACGCGUGAAGUUGACCGCCUGGGGAGUACGGCCGCAAGGUUAAAACUCAAAAAAAUUGACGGA
rnacentral:rRNA from 1 species